rnacentral:rRNA from 1 species
UACGUAGGGAGCAAGCGUUGUUCGGAUUUACUGGGCGUAAAGGGCGCGUAGGCGGCAAUUCAAGUCAGCUGUGAAAUCUCCGGGCUUAACUCGGAACGGUCAGCUGAUACUGCUUUGCUAGAGUGCGGAAGGGGCAAUCGGAAUUCUCGGUGUAGCGGUGAAAUGCGUAGAUAUCGAGAGGAACACCUGAGGUGAAGACGAGUUGCUGGGCCGACACUGACGCUGACAGCGCGAAAGCCAGGGGAGCAAACGGG